rnacentral:rRNA from 1 species
UACGUAGGGGGGCAAGCGUUGUCCGGAAUCAUUGGGCGUAAAGAGCGUGUAGGCGGUCCGUUAAGUCGGCUGUGAAAGUCCAAGGCUCAACCUUGGGAUGCCGGUCGAUACUGCCGGACUAGAGUUCGGAAGAGGCGAGUGGAAUUCCCGGUGUAGCGGUGAAAUGCGCAGACUAUCGGGAGGAACACCUAUGGCGAAGGGCAGCUCGCUGGGACGUUACUGACGCUGAGACGCGAAAGCGUGGGGAGCAAACAGG